UAUUUUGUCCUUAAAUUACUUAACUUGUACUUUUUUUAAUGGGUUAUUGUAAUGGAACUGGUGUGUGAAAGUUUUUAAAGUUUAGAUUUGUCACUAAAAAUAUAGUGACGCCUAGUUACGAUCUGUAUUGUACAUUGUACAUGUACCUUUAUCAUAAUCAAUGUUUGUGGUUUUAAAGAUCGGGUGACAUCCAAAUAUAGUUUGAUUCCUGUUGAUGUGCAGCCUAGAAAAAUGCUCCAAAUCUCAUUCAUCUUGUGACAUCAUCUGUAAAUCAUUAGUGAGCUAACAAGAGACAGUGGUACAUGUACAUCUGUAUGUAUAAUUGCUAAACCAGAGCUGAUCACCUGUUUACAAUAUACCAUAAAAUACCAACAUAUGAGUUGCUAUGUCAGAAGUGGUGUAGCAUUACCAGGAAAAGAAAAGUAACAUGGAGGUAUUUGUGUGCAUGUGCUGAGUUGGAGAAAGUUACAUAACAAUUUCUCUUGUUAGCUCACUAAUGAUUAACAGAUAGAAGAAUGAAAUCUGGAGCAUUUAUUUAGGGUGGAGCUUAGCAGGUCUGAGCAAAUUAUUGUAAAAUAUUUAAAAAUCUAUGAAAUAUAUUUAUAACAAAUUAUGAGUUGUAUGCAGCCCUGCACAUAAACAUAAACCAACUUAUAUUUGGAUGUCACCUGACCCCAUAAGGUUUGCCUCAGUACUGAUGUUUAAAUUAGACUCCUGAUAUACAUGGGUGUACAUAUACAUGUACAGGUCUAUGGCUAUGCACAGUGGUAAACCAGUAAAAAUGAAUGGAAUCCUUGUACAUAUUACAAUUUUGAACAGAUUAAAACAAGUCUGUCAUUAAUUAGUACUUAAAGAUUUGUGUAAUGUACAAUAAAAGCAUCCUUAGUGAUGGUGCCCAUAUAGACUACUGAACUAUUUCUUAAACAACACAUGGAUAAAUAAUAACAUAUUAUGUAAUGCACAUGCAAAUAUGCAUUCAAGAUGUACUUCUAAAAUAAUUUAAAAAAAUGAUUGUUUUUAGUGUCCAAGCUCAGAUAUAUGUAUUAACAUUGUUCUGUCCAGUACAAACCGCUAAUUUCCUAUUUUCUUCUCCAAUUACAGGAUCAAUGUGAGCGAUUAUGUGGCCAUAUAUUUUGAUGCACCUUCAUCUAGCAGCAGGACUACAAAUGGGGUGGUUUUCAUGGCUCUUGUAAAAGCUGUGAUUGAUGAUAAUGUCAAAGUCAAAUUCAUGCGCCGGAACAGCAAUGGUCUGUAUGAAUUUACAGAGGACUGUGAAGCCCAUCAGCCUAAAAA